GACGAACGCUGGCGGCGUGCUUAACACAUGCAAGUCGAACGCUGAAGACCUGGCUUUUGUUGGGUUGGAUGAGUGGCGAACGGGUGAGUAACACGUGAGUAACCUGCCCUCUUCUUUGGGAUAACGCCCGGAAACGGGUGCUAAUACUGGAUAUUCACUGGCCUUCGCAUGGGGGUUGGUGGAAAGGUUUGUUCUGGUGGGGGAUGGGCUCGCGGCCUAUCAGCUUGUUGGUGGGGUGAUGGCCUACCAAGGCUUUGACGGGUAGCCGGCCUGAGAGGGUGACCGGUAACAUUGGGACUGGGAUACGGCCCAGACUCCUACGGGAGGCAGCAGUGGGGAAUAUUGAACAAUGGGCGAAAGCCUGAUGCAGCGACGCCGCGUGAGGGAUGGAGGCCUUCGGGUUGGAAACCUCUUUCGCUCAUGGUCAAGCCGCAACUGUGGGUUGUGGUGAGGGUAGUGGGUAAAGAAGCGCCGGCUAACUACGUG
rnacentral:rRNA from 1 species